CAGUCGCCGCGGUAAUACGGAGGGGGCUAGCGUUGUUCGGAAUUACUGGGCGUAAAGCGCACGUAGGCGGCUUGGUAAGUUAGAGGUGAAAGCCUGGAGCUCAACUCCAGAAUUGCCUUUAAGACUGCCGAGCUAGCAGGUGAGAGAGGUAAGUGGAAUUCCGAGUGUAGAGGUGAAAUUCGUAGAUAUUCGGAAGAACACCAGUGGCGAAGGCGGCUUACUGGCUCAUACUGGACGCUGAGGUGCGAAAGCGUGGGGAGCAGACAGGAUAGAUACCCCCGUAGUCCCUGUCUCUUAUACA
rnacentral:rRNA from 1 species